UCAACGGUUACUCGUAUUGUUAUCGACGGACAAAAAGAAAUAUGGCUUGGAGGCAUCCGUUUGCUUUCGGUUCCAUCACAGCAGGAAUUUUUGUCGAUGAGUAAUAAGCGGAAUACAGAUUGUGGCUUCCGACAAUUAUUAAAUAAAUAAACUAAUAGGAGAUAUUCCUGGGUACAGAACAACGAAUAUACCCUUUCAAAUACAGGGUAGAACUAUCAUCAAUUCAAUUAAAUGAUUCGCAAAUCAAAACUGAAAAGUAAUUUCUAUGAAAGUCUGUUCUACUUAAUGACUGCUUGUUUAGCUGAUCAUAGGAACCAGUUGUGUAAUGUCUAUAUCAUGAUGGAUCGUGUCUACAUCAUGUUAGUCACUAUGACAAGAGUGGUGCCAAAGAAUGAAACUGGGAAUUGAUUGAAUUUGUAGUUCUGUUAAUGAAUUAUUGACAGAUAUGUUGUCUUUAUUUGUUGCCAAAGGGUCUUAGUGCUCAUUUCCACUUCGGAUGCCAAAGUAAAAUGAUAUCAUCCAAAAUUCAGCUCCAGCAAAGUGGCUUGAUUUUGAUAGUUCUGAUUGGUCUUGUGGUAUUCUUUGGAUUGGCCAAACUAGUGUCCGUUCCGCUGCGCAUCGAUAGCUUCGAUAGCUUCAGUUACAAGAACCUCCGAGAGCAGAAGGAAGAGGGCUAGCAAGCGGGUCAAGGAUUGGAUUUUAGUGAAAUGUAUUUAUUUACUGCCAAAGAUUAAGAUAU